GGUAGUAAAAGUCGUACAAGGUUUCCGUAGGUGAACCUGCGGAAGGAUCAUUAUUGUAUAACCGAGGUGCGAGGGCUGUCGCUGACCCGAAAGGUCGUGCACGCCCGAGUGCCCUCACACACAUCCAUCUCACCCCUAUGUGCACCACCGCGUGGGUCCCCCUUUGGCUUGUUCGGAGGGGGGCUUACGUUUUCACACAAACUUUGUAUGCAGUGUAGAAUGUAUUUUUUGUUUUUGCGAUCACGCAAUCAAUACAACUUUCAACAACGGAUCUCUUGGCUCUC
rnacentral:misc_RNA from 1 species